GCAGACGCCGAUUUUCGCGACAACUGCAAAAAAUGGUUAAAGGCAACCCACAUAGGCCCCAAAUAAAGUUAUUUGUGCUAAAGUUGAUUUUUAGCCGUUCCAUAGCAAUUUCAAGUUUCUGGAGAAAUGAUACUAAAUCUCUGGAGGCUCCAGAAUGACUGGAAUUGAGGUUUUACAAAUUUUGAUAGUCGUAAAUGAGUUAGGGACACCAUCUGAGCCACUUCCCGAGAAAAUUCCAUUUUUAUCAAUAUUUUCUAUUUUUGGUAUUAAUUGAUAAUUUUUCGGAUUUUUCAAUUUUCAAAAAUUCACCAAAAAUCGAGAAAUCAACUUUAGCACUUGAAAUUUUGGAUUUGGGGUCCUGAGGUGGUCCCCUUUCAAUCUAGCUUUGAUUCGUUCAUUUUCGUUUCUGCCGGUUCAGGUAGUUCCCUUGUAAGACAUUUUGUUUUCAGAGUGAACUAUUUCACUGCCAUGUAAUCGUAAAUAGUUCCUCCAGUGCGACUAACAAAACUUUACAAGCUGUAACCAACAUGGAAAAAGAAUCGAGCAAUAUGGUUAAGAAGGAUGAGAAAACUCUGCAAGCGAUACGGCGUGCAAGAUUGGAUGCGCGUCGGAUGACGUGCCAAUAUUGGGACAAUCGAUUCUUAAGUAAUGCCAUGUAUUUUGGAGAGGAUUUUAUAACUGAGAAUGAAUGGAUGAAAGCACGGCAGAAAAAAAAAAAGAAAGAACCAAGUGAUCAUGGGCAUCACAACACCACGUAUGAUGAAUCCGAAAGAAAUAAAUCGACUUCUAUCUGAAUAUAUUGAACUAGUAAGACAGUAUGUUCCGCGUCCCUCGAAAAAAUUUUUGAACAAUCCGGCCAGUUUCGAUUUAUGGUGUCGAAACUUCAAUACCUCAAUUAACAUUGGAUUAAAAUGUGAUGCCGUGUUGCUUUCUAAAUUCCUCCCUGCUGAGUUGAUAAAUGAAGUCAGGCAUAUAAUUCGGCAGUAUUCUUUUUUCUAUCGGGAUCAUGGAAACAACGCGACCACAAUAACUCGAGAACAUUUAAUUCUAGAAACAAGACGACUUUAUAAAGUUAUGCUUCAAAGCGAGUUUUUAGUCAAAAUCUUUUCACAAUUGAGACGCAACUUCUACCAGUUCAGGCGGGAUUACAGGAAAAUUCAUCGCGCGAAAUUCACCGCGCGAACGGUGAAUUUUCCUCCGCAAUGAAUUUUUCCUCGCGAUUAAUUUUACCCUGCAAUGAGUUUCGCGCGGUAAAUUUUCCUGUUAUACCCAGUUCAGGAUUACCCCAAUGAGCAGAUUUCAAGUUUAAAUUUUUGUAUUAAUGUUUCAACAGAUGAACGAAACUUAAUUUUUUCCUAGGUGCUGGAAUGCAUAGUUUUCCCAUAUAAUCAAUGUUAAUGUUGACAAAUACAAAAAUUAUCGUUUGAUUGGAUCUGUAUCUUUAAAAUCAAAAUUGACAAGUCGAUAAAACGUUUGGAGGAUUUUUGAAAACGUUGCAAUAAUUUUAAAGUAGCACUCCCCUCCCCAUUAAUCUUGAGUAAAAAAUAAACUGUUGUGGAAUUACCCAAAAGUGACCUUGUGACCUAUCAUUCAAAAUGGAUUAAAAUUUUGCGAGAAAUUCAAAUAUCUUUACUAAAAUGUUUUUCGAGUAUUUUUGAAAGAUUUUGACUCUUAAAUUGGAUCAUGAUUUCCGAACUUCUUUAAAAUUAAAGCGCCAUGAGUACAUCUACUCUACUUAUGUUAUGUGGACACAAAAUGUUUUGUUUGUAAACAUUAUUUUUCAAGGUAGUCGAUGUAAGUUCAAUGUCUCGAUUUCUUAUACCAUUGAAAAGACGAAUUAAUAUUGGCGUACCUACCUACCUCCUUAUCACAUGCAAAAUGUAAACACGUUCAAAAUUGGUUGCAUGUGUUCUGUUCUGUUUAACUUACACAACACACCAGACAGAAAGGCGAUGAUUCACUCAAACGUCUCACACUUGUUAUGUCUGUUUCAUUCGAUUGGCUUUUCUGAGACAAAAAUACAUUACUUAUACCUACAGAAGAAAAAAUUCGUCAUUCAUCGUGACAAAAAAGAGUCGAAAGCACUGAAAGCAGAAAAAAAUUUAAGAGAAAGGACAAAGGACUGAAAAUUAAUUAUUCAUCUGUAGUUAUAAUGAAGCUGGGAGCUUUAAUUAUUCGUAAGUACUUGGCUGGGAGUAGGUACUGAGCGAGCCAAAUACAUAUAUGAUAUCUACUAUCUAUAUUGAAACUGAACUAUCAGAUUUCAUUGAUGACUGAAGAUAAAAGAUAUAUAGUUUAGCUCAAAGCAAUUCAGUCUGAAUUAAUUAUACUUAUUUACAUUUUAACAGUCAAUCAUCCCACUGAAACAUAUCACAGUCGAUGUUAUUUUAGUUGAAGCUCAAGUACCUAGUUCCAAAAAAUGACGAAAAUAUAUUUUGUCAUUUCUGCGUUGGUAAGCAUAUUUUCAGAGUGAACUGUUUCAUUACCGUGUAUUCGUAAAUAGUUCCUCCUGUGCGACUAACAAAGCUUCACAAGCUAUAUUAACCAACAUGAAAAACGAAUCGAGCAACGUGGCUAAGGAGAAUAAGAAAACUCCGGAAGCGAUACUCCGUGCAACACUGGAUGAAAAAUCAGAUGAAGACAUAAGUUGGAUGACGUGCAAAUAUUGGAUCGAUCGAUUCGUACGUGAUGUCAUCUUUUUGGGAGAGGAAUUUAUAACCGAGAAUGAAUGGAUGAAAGCACGGCAGCAAAAAAAAGGAAAGAAGCAAGUGGUUAUGGACAUCACAACGCCGCGUAUGACGAAUGUGAAAGAAAUGAAUCGAUUUAUAUCCGGAUAUAUUAAACGAGUAAAAAAUUAUCUUCCGCGUGACUCGAAUUUUUUUUUGAACAAUCCAGACUUUUUCGAUUUAUGGUGUCGAGACUUCAAUACGCAAAUUAACAAUGGAUUAAAAUGUGAUCCCGAAUUGCUUUAUAAAUUAUUCCUCCCUGUUGAGUUGAUAAAUGAAGUCAGGCAUAUAAUUCAGCAGUAUUCUUUUUUCUGCCAGGAUUAUGGAAACAACGAGACCACGGUAACUCGAGAACAUGCAAUCCUUGAAACAAGACAACAAAUUUUUGAAGUUAUGCUUCAAAGUGAGUUUUUAGUAAAAAUCUUUUUGCAAUUGAGGCGCACGUUCUACCAGUCCAGAAUUCAGCCAAUGAGAAGAUAUUAAGUUUAAAUUUUUGUAUUUAUUUUGUAACAUAAAGAUUAUGCUGGCGUACCUACACGUAGAAAGCUUUUUGUUAAAUAUUUUUUCUGAUUUUCUCGAACCAAAGAUUAUAUAUAGGUACCUACCUACCUAUAUUGAAAUUUUGAAAUUUUGUAGUGAAAUUAUGAGCAUCUGGUAACUGGUUUAUGCAUUUGGAUGAGAUAUCACAAAAAAAAAAAAGGUAUUAAUGUGAUGAACAUUGUAUUUCAUAUUUUGCUAAAAUUAAAUCAACUCAGUAUCAGCAACCACUGCCACAACUUUUUCGACACUUUUCGUAGCAUUUUUGUACUUUGCAAAUCAUUGCUCUUGUUUUUUCGUCUAUUUUACCACCACUCUGUAAAAUUUAUUCCAGAAUUAGUAACAUUCGUGAAUGCAAUUUACCUAUUUGUAUGUAUUGUAGCUCAAAUUAAAAUUAUUUUUUUUAUA